GUGUGUGUGUGUGUGUGUGUGUGUGUGUGUGUGUGUGUGUGUGUGUGUGUGUGUGUGUGUGUGUGUGUGUGUGUGUGUGUGGCGGUAGUAGCUCAUGACGCACUCAAAAGAGCUUGUCAGGUAAUGGUGUGCAAAUCAUCCCAUGCUGAUGUAAGUGGAAAGCGGGAAUCAGGAGCCACGGUAGAUGCGACUCCGUGUGAUAGGCUACUGCUGCCCACUCACGCAUACUACUACGGCUUUAAGAAGACGUCCGGUCUAUAUUUACCUUACGGUUCGGUUCCCUGCCUCGUGACACUAGACGGAAUCCUGGACGACUCACAAGGAUGAGGAUGAUGAUAAUGAUGAUGAUAACGAGGAGGAGGAGGAGGAGGAAGAUUUUGGCCACAUCCUUCAGCUUCUUGGAACACUCUGUCCGUCCUCCGCGGUCAAUGUCCUGAACUAAGAUCCCAGACAGCUUCCCGUACCCAGCCGCCACUCCUCAUGAAAUCCAUUCCAGGAGAAAUGACCAUUUUUGUAGCCUCAGGAAAUCAAAUGCACUGGAGUGCAUGAGACUUUUUUUCGUCAAUGUCACAGAUGUAGAAAGUGCAGAACUAUACUUCCUGCUGUUACCUGGCCUAGUGCGACUUUAACAGCUCUUAUUUAGGGUCACGAUCAACGGCG
ensembl:lncRNA